AUUGAACGCUGGCGGCAGGCCUAACACAUGCAAGUCGAGCGGCUGAAGGGCGCUUGCUCCUCGAUUCAGCGGCGGACGGGUGAGUAAUGCCUCGGAAUCUGCCCGGUCGUGGGGGAUAACGUCCGGAAACGGGCGCUAAUACCGCAUACGACCUGCGGGAGAAAGCGGGGGAUCUUCGGACCUCACGCUAUAGGAUGAGCCUAGGCCGGAUUAGCUAGUUGGUGGGGUAAAGGCCCACCAAGGCGACGAUCGGUAGCUGGUCUGAGAGGAUGAUCAGCCACACUGGAACUGAGACACGGUCCAGACUCCUACGGGAGGCAGCAGUGGGGAAUAUUGGACAAUGGGCGCAAGCCUGAUCCAGCCAUGCCGCGUGUGUGAAGAAGGUCUUCGGAUUGUAAAGCACUUUAAGUUGGGAGGAAGGGCAGUAAGUUAAUACCUUGCUGUUUUGACGUUACCAACAGAAUAAGCACCGGCUAACUUCGUG
rnacentral:rRNA from 1 species